GUGGAAAGGAACAGCUUAGUGGAGCUAUGAGAUGCAUUGGGAGAGCUUUUAGUUUCAGCAUGACUGGACAUUGGGGUGUGAAUGGUGAGGAGCUGGAGGGGAGAGGAAGCUCUAGAAGGAAGCUAGAUCUGAAAGUCUGCAAGAAGGAAUUUGUAUUUUACCCUCCAGAUGAUGAACAGUUAAUGAGGGAUUUCAAGCAAGGAAUAACCUAGGCAGAUAUGUACUUAAUGAGAGCAUUUUGACAGUACCAUUAAGGAUAAAGUGGAAUGAGGAGACUGAGACAAGGAAAUCUGUUAGUAACACAAGAGAUGAGGUGAGGGUUUGAAUUUCAACAGUGACAAUAGUGUUUGAGGCAAAAAUAUCAAACUGGUCAGUACUAAUGACCUAGCAUUAGCAAUGUAGGGAAAAUUGGAUAGUAAUGGAUGGUGGUUCUAGUCACCAAGAAAAUAAAUAUAAGAAAAUGGGCAGGUAUUAAGAAGAGAAGUGGUGGAUUUUGAUUUUGACACAUGGCUUUCGAGGAGCUUGAGAUGACUAUAGAAUAUAGAUGUGUGGUAGGUAGUUGGUUUUGAAUGGGAUAGAAUUUUAAAUGAGAAAUGGAAAUAUGGGAGCCAGUAGCUGAAGCCAUGAGUUGAAUGUUGAGAUUGUCUAGGGGACCAUUUUUAUGUGACAACAAGGGGAAAGUGAGAUGGGGAGAGUGGGGCAGGAAAACUUAAUGUUUACAUAGAUGGACAUUUUAUAGUUCAAAGGUAUUUAAAAUACAUUAUCUUUUUUUGAUGCCCAUAACCAUAUUAUGAAGAAGGCAUUAUUAUGCUCACCUUUUUCCUUUUAUUAUGAGGACUGAAGCUUGGGGAAAUUAUGGGACUUCCAUAAAUAGCAAGGAAUAGAUCCUAGUCACAAACCAAUGUCUUCUGAUUACAAGUUUAGUAUUCAUUUCAUUAUAUCAGAACUGCAUUGUGACCACACAUAGCUAAUUUCAUCUAAUAUCUCAUACAUGUGUUAUACUCGUGACAUGGUUGGAAAAUAAUCUCUCCUUCGAUGCUCUCAUUGAGACCAAAGGGAAAUUUUCUGAAGUUAGUAUUAUGAUAGGUAGGAAAUAACAGCUGAGUUUCAGUGGGGGCAGUAACACUGCCUGAAGUAAUUUUGAGUUGGUAUUUUCAACUGAUGUAGUCAGAACUGAAUCAGUUCACAUUUAAGAUGGUAGAAAAUACAGUAUUAGCCAUAUUGUGGUUUGCUUUGCUAAUGAUUUAGCUUCUGCUUAAGUCCCAUUUGUUGUGGAAAGAUAGAUAUUUUAAAAAUUGACUUAGGUAAAGAAGGAAACGCAAAUUAAAAUACCACCAUCUUACUUAAUAUGCAUACAAUCUUACUGAAUCAGAAUGUUCUAUCUUGAGGGAAGUAUCUGACAACCUGUCACGUUCACAAAGGGUAGGUAAAUGGGUAGAAAAAUGUGUAGUAAAAUCUAGCUUGCCCUUACAAAGGGCUGAAAAAUAUUGGGUGAUGUUUCCCUAUCUUCCCACCAACAAAGUAGGCAAUCUCUGCUAUAAACGCAUCUGGAAAAUAAGUGUCUUAAUAAGGAGAAACAUUAGUGAGAAUUAGCAUAGGGCUAAUGGCCUAGAAUGCAUACUUGCCAAUUUUGUAUUUUUCAGCUACGUUUUUAGAAAGACAUUUUAAAAUUAUUUAUGCUGUUUUCUGGAGAUUUCUGUGGGUUGAAAGAGAGUCACCAAUUUAUUCUGCUGCGUUUUUGACCAUGUGGCAUUUAAUAUGCAAAACGAUAGUGUUCUAAUGUUGGUGAGGGCAAAGUAGAAUAUAAUUAUAAAAGACAAGAAAAUGGCUCUCUUCUAAAUAUGGCUAUUGCCUAAGUACAGUUGGCUGAUCAUAAAAUGUGCAAUUCAAACUUUCAUAUCGAUAUUUUUGAUUGACGGUACCCUUGGGUUAGUGGAGUGAGCUUCAUUUAUUAAGAAGUCAUAGAAAGUCAGGUUGAUUGUCUGGGCAGGUGGACACUUGCUUGAAGGAUAAUGCUAAAAAGGCAAGAGAAUAGAAAAGCUAGUCCCUAUGAUGACUGUAGACCACUACAGUUGCCUACCUGAUAGACACAGGGUAGCAAAAAAUCAGAACAGACCUCACUGUAGAUUCUAUCAGGUUUUAAAUAUUUUUGCUUUAAUCUUUCCAGCAUUCAUCUUUUUCAUUCACCAAAUACAAGAAAAUGGUGUGUAAACAAUGUCUUCCAUGGAAGAAAAUGUGGCUGAUUGUGCAAUAUAAGAAACACUAUUUGUAAUCCCCUCCAUUUUCCCUACUGCUUAUAUCUUCGUGAGCACAGGCAAGGAUUUGUGUAUUAAAACUGACUCGAGUGAUAAAAUGUUUGUUUAUUCAAUUUCAGAAAGAAUGUUUAUUUUUCUGUGGCUAUAGGGCCAAAGAUUAUGCUAAUAUGUUCCAUAUAUAUAUAUAUAAAGACAGGCUACCAUUAAGGCAAUCUCUAGAUGCUCAGUUCUCUCUGUCACAUAAGAAGGCUGAGCAAGGGCUUGUGCAAUAUUUUGCAGUCAUAUUUACUGCCAUAUGGCCAUUUCCAAAUUACAUUGUGUUGUAAGUUGAGAUUGUCUGAAGGAGUUUGGCUAACUUCCAUCUUGGGAAUACCUUUCACAGAGGCUGAUGCUAAUGGGAAUGUGAUUGUCUGGUAAUGUAACAGCGUUAAUAUUGUUUUUAUUGAGUUAGCUGGACUACUAGCUAUUGUAUGCUGGAGAAAAUACAGUUUAUGGUACAAUGAUCUAAUGUUGAUAGCUUGCCAGACAUCUCUCUUGCUAAGCAUGUAAUUCAUCUAAGUAACCCCGGCUGUGUGAUUUUUUUUUUUUUUCCUGUGGUCUGAACCACUUCUUAGCAAAGGUCUCAAAAAUUGACAUUAAAAUAAGCAGGGAGAUAAAAAUGUUUAUCUUAUUCUAUAGCCACAUUUUAUAUAUUUUAUAGUUACUAUUUUUAUGUGUGUUCACAAAACAAAGCUAGUGUGCAAAUUAAAAAUGUAAAUUCAUCUAAGAAUGUUAGUUUCUAUUCAGAAUGUUCAUUUCUGAAUCAGAAACUCUAAGGACAGGCCAAGAAUUACAUGUUUUAACAAGAUUUCUACAGGAUUUUCAUACUCAUUCAAGUUUGAAAACCAUUGCUUUAGACCUCUACUUUUUAAUGGUUAUUGAAAUACAACAAAAGAUGAAAUAUAAUAACUUUGGAAUUAUAAACAUGUCAUCUUACUUGAUACUUCCAUAGAAGACUCUAAGAUGAGAUCUCAAAGUCAUCUACAUAAACCAAUUAAAAUAUACCUCACAUAGUGUUGAAAUUGAUGGUUACUUUCAUACCUAUUUAACAAAUGGAGAGAACAAGGAUUUUUUAAAACUUAUUUCCUCAGGGGCAUAAAGUGAGCUUAUUAUAAGAAAGAAAUGUCUGAUUUUAACCAGUCAUCCUGUACUCUACUAUGUCCCAAUGAUUAAGACUAACAACAAUAACAACACAAAACAAAACAGAAUUCCUCAUACACUGGCAUUUUUAUCACACUUUUAUGUCCCAGCGUAUGAAGUUAGACCCGAAAGAAAUAGUUUUUGGAAUAUGAAUAUUUAUAGAAAGUAUUAAUUACCAAGUAAACUCCUUGAUAUAUGAAAACGAAAAUAUACUCUUUGUUUUUCCUUUUACACUCCCUAAAAGGAGUGUAAUCUUAUGUUUCAUGUGAUCACCAGCCCUAGAGAUUGGAAAUGACCGUGAUGGGAGACUGCUGCUCUAAAUUAAACAAAGUAAAAUGGAGUGACCCUCUGGAGAUACCUCGUCUGUACUUUGCUGAUAAUGUUGCAUAGCUAAAUAUGGCUUUCAAAAGGAUAAAUGAGUGUCAUCUCUUUUCUCUUCUCUAUGUAAUCAUGCUGUUGAUAUUUUCUAGUAUUUAAGUUUCUUUGCUAGUCAGAAGGCAGUACCAUAUGUGAUAAGUCACACCCAUAGCAAUUUUUUAAUCAAUGUAGUUUGUGAAUACUAAGUGUGGAAGAGAAAAUAACUGGGGGUCUUACCUUCCUGCCAGAGCCAGCAGUGUUAAGUUUCAUGAUAUUAAAAAAAAAAUAAAAAUGGAAUUGUCAGGGCUGUAAGUCAGCAGCCGAAGCAGGAAUGACUGCAACUUAGGGACUAUAAAUUUUGGAGUGUGAAUGUGACUUACCAUACAUGAAUUUUUUAAAAAAAUUAAAAUAUUUAAAGUAUCCAGCCUGGAUACAGUUUAUCCUGAGCUACUGAAAAUUUAUUUUCAAUGUAUUUUGGCUACUUCUGAAGUAACCUGAGAUGUAAGAUAGAAGCCAGAACUAGUGCAAGUGUAAGCAAAUGUGUAAAGCCAGCAUGAUCAUUUAUGUCUGACCCAAUAUUUUCUAUUCAAUUUAGCUAUGUGUUUUUCUUCAACAUUUUCACUAACUCUUAAAAUUCAUUCAUAGCUAGCACCUAUUUCAAAAGUGGCUACUCCCUAGCUGAAGGAACAGGCAAGUUCAAGCUUUCUUAUUUUUUGAAUGUCACACAUAUAAGAAAAAUAAAGAAUGACUUUUGCAAAUGUAUGCCACAAAAUUACUAGCAAUUCCCUCAAAUAUACAAAAUCUAUAGAAGUAUAAUACUGGCAACUGAAAUUCCAUCUUCAUUUAAUAACUGGAUUUUGUAACUGAAAAUCAAGGAACCAAUUAUGUCACUGGUUUCAGAGCAAUUGCCCCAAAAGGUGAGUACUGGAUGCUUCAAAACUUUCAGGGGGAAAAUAAAUGAAUCAAGUGAUUAUUAUUUAGUGUUUAUCACACAGAGUUUGCGAGUAGCCGUGUUAGCUGAGUAUUAGCCAUAAUCCAUCUCUUGCUAUAGGGAAUGGAAAUGUAUAGAGUAUUUUAUAAAUCAAAAAUUUUAUUUCUAUUUAGAGCUUUCUAGCUGUUAUAUCUUCUCUAAGACUCUUUCCACUUCUGAAAAUCUUGUAAUUACAGCUGGACCUCAGGAAAACAUGAAGUCACUUGAGGGAAGGUACAGAUGGUUACUAUCACAGGAACAUUUGACAUCUUGCCUUUAGUUGAAUAAACCGGACACAAACCCAUAAUUGAGGAAGCAGAGUACAUUAGGAAGGACAAACAGAAGAGAUCCAGCAUAUAACACCAUGGGAAGAGAAAGGAGGGACUCCUUUGGGUGGUGCACGUGUGAAAGACGGAUGGCAGAUGGAUUCUUAGGCAGCUGCUCGAUGGCAAAUGGAGGACAGAGCCCUCAAAUAUGUGGGCAGAAGGACACAGUGAAGCAAAACUCGAGCAGCGAGGCAUAGCUGUGGAACCCGGGGACAUGUCAGCAAGAAUAUCCACUACAGGAAAUCAGGGCCUCAUUUUGAAAUUCAAAAUAGCAGCUAACCUCACUGUCUCUGAAGCAAAUCUUUUUAAAGCAAAGCAUAUUAACUGCUUGUUUUGUAAUCAAAAAUAAUUUUCCACUCACCAGCAUAGCAGCUCUUGAAGGUUAAGUAUGAGAUUCCUUAAUUUCAAUGAUAAAACUUAAAUCAAAAUAUCUUAUAGCUGAACCUUUUAUUCUACCUGCAUAUUUAAAAAGACAUUUACGUUUCCAUGUAAAAUGCUCUUACUUGCGGUUGUUUAUUAAGUAUACAUCUGAUUCAGGGAUGUUAUUGCCUUAGAGACAAUUUGCAGAAAGAUUUGCAAAAAGCGUUCAGGCACACACUGUAUAGAAUAACUAGUU